CAUCAUGCAGUAAAACCAUACCGUCUUCAAGUCCCCAGACAACAACCUUGCCAUCAGGACGCCAGCAUAAUGAUGUUAUACAUUUACCCUGAAAGCCAAAAGCGCGGGGUUUGUCGAACUUGAAGCUGAAACGGAAGCGCACACGCCGGCGGCCCCCCUUCGUCGUUCUCCCAUUGCUAGAGAGCUCGGCCAAGCAUAGCAAGCCGAAAACCGCAGCCACCAGCUCCGCUUGAACAAAUCGCGAGGGAGC